AUAAAUCGGCCUUUAUCCAUACACAGAAUAUAGUAUACAUCCAAUUGUUUGAUAAAUGUCCCUUUUGGAGUAAUGGAUUUAAUUUAAAAAGGCGCCGAUUCGUCGACGUAUAUGCUCCCGAAGGCAAGGAUAAAAACGAUUCAAUAAAUUUUCAAAUGUUUCGAAUUGCGAUCAAGAAUUCAAGGUGACGUAAGGUGAAAACUAUUUGAAGCGAAACUCUGGUGUAGAUACCAUGAUGGCAUUACAGGAUCUACUUAGGUCUGAAAAGUGAUUUGUGCUAUACUACAGUCAACUAAAGACUUCUUUGUCACCCACGUAUGAGAACAUUGAACCAUACCACGCUUGCCUUCGCAUGGAUAGAUUUGAAUACAGUCAUAUUAAAAGUUAAAGUGAAAAGAUUUAUAUAUUUGGCGUAAAGUUUUUGCUACCAAUAGGAAGUACGUACAUGUUUUGUUCUUUACGGAAUGUCUUUUUAAAUACAAUUAUGUACAAGUGCCCUGCUCUGCCAUCAAACUUCACGAUUUUAUGUUAGACUGUUGCUGUACAUUACAUUAUCAAUAAA